ensembl:lncRNA
CAAGCAAAACAUUAAGGUAUAAAUACAGCAAAAAAUCAAGAUAGAAAAUCAGUCAAGCUGAAGACUUUACCUUAUCCUGCCUGACGACGCAAGACUGAGGUAAAAAUGGACUGUUGUUACAAUUACAGUUGAUAUUUAUCUGUUAUGACAAUUUUUUUCCCUUUUAGACAAUGAAGAUCCCUGUUGUGUUCCUGAUUGUUGCACUUGUAACUCUCACCAGUGCAGCUCCAACACAAAACAGUGCUUCUAAAAACAAAGACGAGACUUCACAACAAUUUAUCCACCACAUUGUCAAUGCUUUCAAGAAGCUUUUUGGGGAUCAGGGUGAGGCUGUAAACGACGAAGCCAGUCAAGAAUUCAUCCACCAUAUUGUCAAUGCUUUCAAGAAGCUUUUUGGGGAUCAAAGUGAGGCUGUAAAUGACGAAGCCAGUCAAGAAUUCAUCCACCAUAUUGUCAAUGCUUUCAAGAAGCUUUUUGGGGAUCAGGUUGAGGCUGUAAACGACGAAGCCAGUCAAGAAUUUAUCCACCAUAUCGUCAAUGCUUUCAAGAAGCUUUUUGGGGAUCAGGGUGAGGCUGUAAACGACGAAGCCAGUCAAGAAUUUAUCCACCAUAUCGUCAAUGCUUUCAAGAAGCUUUUUGGGGAUCAAAGUGAGGCUGUAAAUGACGAAGCCAGUCAAGAAUUCAUCCACCAUAUUGUCAAUGCUUUCAAGAAGCUUUUUGGGGAUCAGGGUGAGGCUGUAAACGACGAAGCCAGUCAAGAAUUUAUCCACCAUAUCGUCAAUGCUUUCAAGAAGCUUUUUGGGGAUCAGGGUGAGGCUGUAAACGACGAAGCCAGUCAAGAAUUUAUCCACCAUAUCGUCAAUGCUUUCAAGAAGCUUUUUGGGGAUCAGGGUGAGGCUGUAAACGACGAAGCCAGUCAAGAAUUUAUCCACCAUAUCGUCAAUGCUUUCAAGAAGCUUUUUGGGGAUCAAAGUGAGGCUGUAAAUGACGAAGCCAGUCAAGAAUUUAUCCACCAUAUUGUCAAUGCUUUCAAGAAGCUUUUUGGGGAUCAGGGUGAGGCUGUAAACGACGAAGCCAGUCAAGAAUUUAUCCACCAUAUCGUCAAUGCUUUCAAGAAGCUUUUUGGGGAUCAGGGUGAGGCUGAAAAAGAUGAAGCCAGUCAAGAAUUUAUCCACCAUAUCGUCAAUGCUUUCAAGAAGCUUUUUGGGGAUCAGGGUGAGGCUGUAAACGACGAAGCCAGUCAAGAAUUUAUCCACCAUAUCGUCAAUGCUUUCAAGAAGCUUUUUGGGGAUCAAAGUGAGGCUGUAAAUGACGAAGCCAGUCAAGAAUUUAUCCACCAUAUUGUCAAUGCUUUCAAGAAGCUUUUUGGGGAUCAGGGUGAGGCUGUAAACGACGAAGCCAGUCAAGAAUUUAUCCACCAUAUCGUCAAUGCUUUCAAGAAGCUUUUUGGGGAUCAGGGUGAGGCUGUAAACGACGAAGCCAGUCAAGAAUUUAUCCACCAUAUUGUCAAUGCUUUCAAGAAGCUUUUUGGGGAUCAGGGUGAGGCUGUAAACGACGAAGCCAGUCAAGAAUUUAUCCACCAUAUCGUCAAUGCUUUCAAGAAGCUUUUUGGGGAUCAGGGUGAGGCUGUAAACGACGAAGCCAGUCAAGAAUUUAUCCACCAUAUUGUCAAUGCUUUCAAGAAGCUUUUUGGGGAUCAGGGUGAGGCUGUAAAUGACGAAGAUAGUCAAAAAUUUAUCCACCAUAUUGUCAAUGCUUUCAAGAAGCUUUUUGGGGAUCAAACUGAGGCUGUAAAUGACGAAGCCAGUCAAGAAUUUAUCCACCAUAUCGUCAAUGCUUUCAAGAAGCUUUUUGGGGAUCAGGGUGAGGCUGUAAAUGACGAAGCCAGUCAAGAAUUUAUCCACCAUAUCGUCAAUGCUUUCAAGAAGCUUUUUGGAGAUCAGGGUGAGGCUGUAAACGACGAAGCCAGUCAAGAAUUUAUCCACCAUAUUGUCAAUGCUUUCAAGAAGCUUUUUGGGGAUCAGGGUGAGGCUGUAAAUGACGAAGCUAGUCAAAAAUUUAUCCACCAUAUUGUCAAUGCUUUCAAGAAGCUUUUUGGGGAUCAGGGUGAGGCUGAAAAAGAUGAAGCCACCCAGAAGUUGAUUGGUUUAGCACUUGGUGCUAUUAGUGCUUUAUCACACCUUUUUGGGGAUCAGGGUGAGGCUGUAAAUGACGAAGAUAGUCAAAAAUUUAUCCACCAUAUUGUCAAUGCUUUCAAGAAGCUUUUUGGGGAUCAGGGUGAGGCUGUAAAUGACGAAGCCAGUCAAGAAUUUAUCCACCAUAUUGUCAAUGCUUUCAAGAAGCUUUUUGGGGAUCAGGGUGAGGCUGUAAACGACGAAGCCAGUCAAGAAUUUAUCCACCAUAUCGUCAAUGCUUUCAAGAAGCUUUUUGGGGAUCAGGGUGAGGCUGUAAACGACGAAGCCAGUCAAGAAUUUAUCCACCAUAUUGUCAAUGCUUUCAAGAAGCUUUUUGGGGAUCAGGGUGAGGCUGUAAAUGACGAAGCUAGUCAAAAAUUUAUCCACCAUAUUGUCAAUGCUUUCAAGAAGCUUUUUGGGGAUCAGGGUGAGGCUGUAAAUGACGAAGCUAGUCAAAAAUUUAUCCACCAUAUUGUCAAUGCUUUCAAGAAGCUUUUUGGGGAUCAGGGUGAGGCUGUAAAUGACGAAGCUAGUCAAAAAUUUAUCCACCAUAUUGUCAAUGCUUUCAAGAAGCUUUUUGGGGAUCAAAGUGAGGCUGUAAAUGACGAAGCCAGUCAAGAAUUCAUCCACCAUAUUGUCAAUGCUUUCAAGAAGCUUUUUGGGGAUCAGGGUGAGGCUGUAAACGACGAAGCCAGUCAAGAAUUUAUCCACCAUAUUGUCAAUGCUUUCAAGAAGCUUUUUGGGGAUCAGGGUGAGGCUGUAAACGACGAAGCCAGUCAAGAAUUUAUCCACCAUAUUGUCAAUGCUUUCAAGAAGCUUUUUGGGGAUCAGGGUGAGGCUGUAAACGACGAAGCCAGUCAAGAAUUUAUCCACCAUAUCGUCAAUGCUUUCAAGAAGCUUUUUGGGGAUCAGGGUGAGGCUGUAAACGACGAAGCCAGUCAAAAAUUUAUCCACCAUAUUGUCAAUGCUUUCAAGAAGCUUUUUGGGGAUCAAACUGAGGCUGUAAAUGACGAAGCCAGUCAAGAAUUUAUCCACCAUAUUGUCAAUGCUUUCAAGAAGCUUUUUGGGGAUCAGGGUGAGGCUGAAAAAGAUGAAGCCACCCAGAAGUUGAUUGGUUUAGCACUUGGUGCUAUUAGUGCUUUAUCACACCUUUUUGGGGAUCAGGGUGAGGCUUUAAACGACGAAGCCAGUCAAGAAUUCAUCCACCAUAUCGUCAAUGCUUUCAAGAAGCUUUUUGGGGAUCAGGGUGAGGCUGUAAACGACGAAGCCAGUCAAGAAUUUAUCCACCAUAUUGUCAAUGCUUUCAAGAAGCUUUUUGGGGAUCAGGGUGAGGCUGUAAACGACGAAGCCAGUCAAGAAUUUAUCCACCAUAUUGUCAAUGCUUUCAAGAAGCUUUUUGGGGAUCAAAGAAACAUUGACACUCAAAAAGAUUCAUAAAGAUAGAAGAAUAUUGAAACUUUGCUCUCUGUUUGAAGGUCUUUGGUAACAGAGAUCACAAGGUCAACUCUCAAGAGAAAAUAACCAAUAGCUUGGAAUGUACUGUACUAUUAUUCAGCUGCGAGUUGAAGGUUGGAACUUAGCAGUAGGGAAAUAAAAAUAUUUCAAAUGCACUAUCA